rnacentral:rRNA from 1 species
AGCAGCCGCGGUAAUUCCAGCUCCAAUAGCGUAUAUUAAAGUUGUUGCAGUUAAAAAGCUCGUAGUUGAAUUUCGGGAUCAGUUCGCUGGUCGUGCCUCUGGUAUGUACUGGUGUUACUGGUUCCUCCCUUCUGACGAACUGUCAUGUCAUUUAUUUGGUGUGGCGGGGAAUCAGGACUGUUACUUUGAAAAAUUAGAGUGUUUAAAGCAGGCUCGCGCUUGAAUACAUUAGCAUGGAAUAAUGAAAUAGGACGUUCGAUCCUAUUUUGUUGGUUUCUAGGAUUGACGUAAUGAUUAAUAGGGAUAGUUGGGGGCAUUAGUAUUCAAUUGUCAGAGGUGAAAUUCUUGGAUUUAUUGAAGACUAACUACUGCGAAAGCAUUUGCCAAGGAUGUUUUCAUUAAUCAAGAACGAAAGUUAGGGGAUCGAAGACGAUCAGAUACCGUCGUAGU